rnacentral:tRNA from 1 species
CGCGGAGUGGAGAAGUUGGCAUCUCACAAGGCUCAUAACCUUGGGAUCACUGGUUCGAGUCCAGUCUCCGCCACCA